rnacentral:lncRNA from 1 species
AUUCUUCCCAUCAAAACCGAUGACAGUUUACGCAACAAUAUGGGAUGGAUCAGAGUGGGCAACACAUGGAGGAAAGUAUCCAGUCAACUACAAGAAUGCACCAUUUACAGUUUCAUUUGCAGAAAUGGAGAUAAGUGGUUGCAUUUCCAAUCCCAGUGCUUCUGCUCCCUCAUGUUCUAAGACCUCUUCAAGUUUGGACCCAGUUGAAGGACCAGAGUUUGUGAAGUUGACUAACCAACAAGUUAGUGCUAUGGAUUGGGCAAGAGGGAAGCUAAUGUUUUACUCUUAUUGUAAAGAUACAUCUAGGUUUAAAGUUAUGCCACCAGAGUGCAAAUAGUUCUGCAACUCCAUCAUAUGUAUAAGCUCAUCAACUUAGAACACAAUUGAUUCAAAUUAUACAGCUUCUCAAUAUUCAUGUUCAUCUGUACCUAAUUACAAACAAUUUUCAUUUGGGUCCAUAUAAAGGUAGUUUAUGGACCCAUAUCAGAGGUUGGGGAAUCAUUUUGAGAUUGCAGUGGCCAAUGGAGGACCAAAACACAUUCAGUUGUUUCCUCAUAUCUGCAUUAUUCCUCUUUGCAAUCACUUCUCAUCCAUAAAAUCCAACUAAUAAACAGCUAUUAGCCUCAUAAAUCAUCUACUUAAUGUUGACAUUUAUGCUAUUUAGCGUAGUAAACCAUGUAGUAUGACAUAAAAGCCUCCUUGAUCAAUUUCGUUUUUGCUUGGUUUUGUGUUAGGUUAGCCUAACGAUAGAUAUACUGUUAGACCAAACCACAACACUUAAUUCACUGAACCAUUAAUUAGACAUUAAUAAAUUGAGCUAGUUCAUUACAGAGGAGCAAGAUUAUUAUCAUCAUCAUCAUAAAAAUCAAUCCUCAGCUCUCGACUUGUCUCUUUAUUUUUGACAAUUUGGAAAGCUUUUGAGAUUAUAGCCAUGCCGGAUUUUUGAGGGGUGUGACCACAGCCUUGACUUGCAAGUAAUUCUGAAGGCCGUAAAUACCCUUUUCUCUUCCAAUUCCACUCAUCUUGUACCCUCCAAUAGGAAUCGUAGCAUCAAACACAUCAAAGCAGUUGAUCCAUACAGUACCAACUCGCAAUGCACGUGUCAAUGUGUUUGCAGUGUCUAUGUUCUGUGUAAAUACCCCUGCAGCAAGGCCGUAGCGCGUAUUGUUUGCCCUCUUUAUCACCUCAUCAAGUUCCCUGCAAUAAGUCAUAUUGUUAGCUGUAGUAUUGAUGUCAGGGCCGUACAGGGAGAAGAUACAAAACUUAAUUUAUUGCUUACUUGUAUUUCAAGACCAUCUGCACUGGGCCAAAGAUCUCAUCCUUUGCUAUCUGCAUGUCAUCCUAAUCCACGAGACAAUGAUGAUUAGAUUAACCAUAUGCAAAGUUUGAAUUCUUGGUGAAUAUGGUUAUGAGGUGCAGUGUAGAAUAUUACCUUCACAUUUGAGAAUACAGUGGGCUUGAUGUAGUAACCUUUUGAGCCAAAUUGUUCUCCUCCUGUUUCCAGUGUCGCUCCACCUUUAAUACCGUAAUCUAUAUACUUCAGGAUCUUCUCAAAUUGGUCUGAAUCAAUCUGUUUAACAUGCAUAAGCCUCAAUCAGUAUAACGUAAAUGGCCUUUAGUGCAGCAAGUUUUGAUUCACUAGAUUAGUUCAAAGCUUAAACAAAUAAAUUCAGUAAAAGAAUUUGUUGCCUCAUGAACACUGAUUACCUGAGGACCUUGCUCAGUGCCCCCCUUGAAUGGAUCACCAACUACACGUUUCUCAGCACGUGCCUUAGCUUUCUCUACAAACUCAUCAUAUACACGUUCAUGUACAAAAGUACGAGAACCAGCACAGCAACAUUGUCCCUACAAACAGAGGUGUGAUGAAAUCAGCAUACGAUUUUUCUCUCUUUUACGAAUCAACAAGUGCAUUCAAUUUUCUGUAGAACUACCUACAAAUCUACAAUGCUUAGCAUACCUGAUUAAAGAAUAGAGCAAGAUGAGCCAUCUCAACAGCCUUGUCUACAUCAGCAUCCUCACAUACAAUAAACGGAGAUUUCCCACCAAGCUCCAAAGUUACUGUCUUAAGAUUGCUUUUAGCAGCUAGUUCAAGUACAAUUUUACCAGUAGCAGUUGAUCCAGUAAAAGCAACCUGCACAAUACCUUUAGUAAGAUAACAAAUUACUGCAAAACUCAUAAUUCAUAUGUAGUUAUUGCCGAUUCAUAAUUUACCUUAUCAAUGUCCAUAUGACUAGCAAUUGGGGCACCUACAGUUGGACCAAAGCCAGAAACUAUAUUCAGAGCACCUGGAGGCAGUCCGGCCUGUAAGAAGUACAAGUAAACCGUUCAACAUGAAAUUAGUAAAUCAAACCAACAUUGAAACAAACACAGUAGAAAAUGACGAGUUUAUCAUAAAAAUUGAGACAGACAAGUUUGAUUCAUGAAUGAGUACCUCAUGCAACAGAUGUGCAACAUAGAGAGCAGACAAUGGUGUCUGCUCUGCGGUCUUCAGAACAAUAGUGUUCCCACAUGCUAGAGCAGGUGCAACCUUCCAAGCAAACAUGAGAAGAGGGAAGUUCCAUGGAAUAAUCUGACCUGCCACACCUAUAGGUUCAUGCAAGGUUUGCACAUGAUAUGGUCCAUCAGCUGGAACGGUGAGACCGUGAAUCUUAUCCGCAUAACCUGAGGGAUAUCCAACACGUUAAAUCACAAGUUCUGUUGAAAGGCCAAAAAACAUAACGUGCAGUUGUGUUGUAGAAUAUAGCCAUACCAGCAUAGUAACGAAAAAAACGUGCAAACAUUGGUACUUCAAUUUUAGCAGAUUGUUCAAAUGGCUUCCCAUUAUCCCAGGUCUCAAGUGCUGCUAGUUCAUCAUUUUGUUUCUCAAUCAGAUCAGCAAAGCGGAAAAGGACCCGAGAUCUUUCCUGCACACAAGGUGAUUUGUAAGGACAAAUUUAGUAAAGCACUGAAUUUGAAAACUUUCACAUUCCAUAUUGGCACUAGCAGUCUAGCAAAUAAUAAGUAAAAAUAGUAAAAUAAAGAACUGUUACAUAAGCUGUCAUCUUUGGCCAUGGUCCUUCAUCAAAUGCUUUUCUAGCAGCAGCAACCGCACGAUUUACAUCUUCAGCAUCGCCUUCAGCGACAUGAGCAAUCACAUCUCCAGUCCGAGGGUCCAAUGUGGGAAAUGUUUUUCCUGAGACCAAAGCGAACAUCAGAAAUUCAGCACUGAUCAAAAGAAAAACUAUGUUCCCAUCAAUGGAAAAGAAAAACUCACCUGAUGCUGCAUCCACAAACUGGCCAUUGAUCAAAAGCUUAGUGUGACCUACUAUGACAGGUGGAGUAAUUGGGUCCUCAACAGCAGCAGCAGCAGUGCUAUAUUUACCAAUUCCUCUACUUACAGAAGAAGACCUCCCUAACAAAAGUAGUAUCAACCAAUGAGUGACAUAUAAAAUCAUAAAUGUCAACAUUUGUACAUGACCCUUUUGUUUGUUUUUUUACUUCUUCUUUUUUUCCUUCAAAACAGAAUCAAAGAGACUGUGCAGAAAGACAGUCAAACAUCUCCGCCUUCAUUUGGCUUAGCACUCAACACACAUUGGGGGGUACCCUAUAAAACACUAAAUGGGACCCCUCAGGCUGAUGCAGGGGCGGAGCCAGCCCAGUCUUGACUGGGCUGGAGCCUAGGUGAGAAUUUGAGGUCAAAAAAAUUACUACAUCACAUACGAGAGCUCCGAUCCUCCAGUAUGUUUCAGCUUUCCGAUGGCGGAUCGAAGAAUAGUGUCGACUAUGCCGAGCACCUCUGAUCCUAGCUAGCCGAGAGGCUUGGUCUGGGUUAGGCCGGUGCAAACCCUAGUUGAGCUUCCAAAUGCGUCAGUUUCGGCGGCAAUUAGAGCUCCUAUAAGAUGAUGAAACCAUUGGAUUUCUGGUAUCAGGGAAAGAAACUCGGUUGUUAAUGGUGACGGAGUUGUGAGCGGCUCUGACGGUGUGAGCUGGGUUUCUGACGGUGGAAGGGUCGCCGUGAUUGACCAGGAGUUUGAGGAAUGAUGAGGUGUGGAAGGGCAGUGGGGUGGCAAGGUUUGGCGGUGGAUAUGGAAGAAGAGAAGCAGGUGAGAGAAAGAGGGUGAGUCAAGUCAAUUAAGUUUGGAAUCUUUUGGAGGUGAGAGAGAGAGAGAGAAGCAACAAAAAUAUAAGUGAGUUGUUUAGGUAGUACUAAAAAAAACCUGAACUAAAAUAAUGAAAAAGCAACUGUGUUUGGGUAGAAUUCUAAAUGUAGCAACUGAGUUCAGGUAGAAAUCUAAAUGUAGCAAUUAUGUUUAGUAUUUUGUAAAAUCUCUGGCACCAGAGUUUUGUUUGUCGAAUUUUUUGUAUGUAUUACAAUUAGCUCUGGUGAUAUUCUCAUCCUGGCUCCGUCACUGGGGCUGGCUCCGUCACUGGGGCUGAUGUGAAAUCAUGUUCAUUUAGAUUAUGAUUAGAUUAAUGUCACUUUCAAAAUCUCAGAGAUAAGAACAGUAGGUCAAGAUUGUGGUGCCAUUAAAUACCAUCACCAAAACAGAGAAAAAACAACCAAAAACAUUCAUCUCCAUCUCUAAAACCCUACUGCAAAUCCUUGUUUGCCCAAAUACUAAAGCUUUUGAUUGUUGGAAAAGAAAGGAUCAGACUGAAUUGAAAAUCAAAAACUCCUCAACUGUAUGCUCUUAUAGUCGACAGUAAUGUAAAUAUCAUAAACAAGAUCAAUCAUUUUUGCUCCAUCACUAUACGUUUCCAAAACGCAGGUGACCUUAAACCACUCUGAUCCAUCCAAAACAUAAACAAAAGCCAGAACAAAACAAAAAGGAGUACUGAAAGAACUGGUAGAUCAUGAUGUACCUUUAGAAAAGGAAGAAGCAGAAGUGAAUGAACGAGACAAAAGAGACGAGACCCUCCGAGCUGCCAUGAUCAAUAACACAAACAGAGCUCUAGUCUCUAGCUUCAAAGGAGAAAAGUAUCAGCAAAUGUGUAUGAUAUUUAUAUAUAUAUGAGUUGGUUGCAUUGGUUAGUCAAUAGCUGAAUUAUUAAGGACAACAUGUUCAUGACUUUAUACUGAGGAUAAAAAUGUCUCACUUUUGGCCUCGUGAUCGACCUACCACGAAUUAAUUCAAUAACUAAUGCAUGGAUCUUUUGCUUUCAGUUGUCUAAUGCAGAUGUUUUCCCCCACAAUCAUGAUGAAAUAGACAUAGAGCUCUUAGGCCAUGAUAAAAGAAAUGAAUGGGUCAUCCAAACAAAUGUGUAUGCAAAUGGGAGUGUCAGCACUGGGAGAGAAGAGAAAUUUUACUUCUGGUUUGAUCCAACAACACAGCACCAUCAGUACACCAUCAUCUGGAACAAUCAUCACACAGUGUAAGAAAAAAAGAAAACCAAUUGAAAUACAUUGUACCAAUUGGAUUAAUCUAAAUUACCAAAUUCUGAAAGUUCCCUAAAUUUUCAGGUUUCUAGUGGACAACAUCCCAGUGAGAGAGUUUGAGCAUAAAGCUCAUUCUUCCCAUCAAAACUGAUGUCUGUUUACGCAACAAUAUGGGAUGGAUCAGAGUGGGCAACACAUGGAGGAAAGUAUCCAGUCAACUACAAGAAUGCACCAUUUACAGUUUCAUUUGCAGAAAUGGAGAUAAGUGGUUGCAUUUCCAAUCCCAGUGCUUCUGCUCCCAAAUGUUCUAAGACCUCUUCAAGUUUGGACCCAGUUGAAGGACCAGAGUUUGUGAAGUUGACUAACCAACAAGUUAGUGCUAUGGAUUGGGCAAGAGGGAAGCUAAUGUUUUACUCUUAUUGUAAAGAUACAUCUAGGUUUAAAGUUAUGCCACCAGAGUGCA